AAGAAAGUCAUUCAUUCUUUCUCCCCCACAGCUUCCUAGGUCUUCCAUGUGUUCAACGGAAAUUCACAAAUUCUCUAGUAGCAGAAGCCAAGAACAAGUUCUCUGGAUCACAUAGGCUCCUCUGCUGCUUCCUCAGAAACAGGGAAGGUACUUGGUGCCGAAGAAAGAGACAGAGACUGGGAAGGAGAAGGAAGUCAGCAGAAAGAAGAAAGACACACAGGAAAGAGAGAAGGGUAGCUAAAAGAAAGAGUCAGGGAGAUGGUUCCAGGAGAAGAAAAGAAAGUCAGUUGCUUUCUGAGAUCAGGUGGGAAGUUUAUCCUGUCAACUCCACCUUUAGAGUGCUAGUCUCUGGAGCCACAAGGACUGAAACUCUGCUUCAGAGACCCACCACUGAUGACAACCAUCAGGCUCAGGAACUGAAAAGAAAUGGUGCAAAUGUGGCCGAGGGACUUGGGUUUUACAUUUAUUGCCGAGUCUGGUUUUCUUGAGUUUCAGAUGAUAAAAUUGAAGCCCAGAGAAGCUUGGGAGCCUCAACUAUUAAUGGAAAAACCAUAACUAGAACUGAGUUUUCCUGAGACAUUUUUUACUAUUCAUUCCCCUGCUCUUGGGCCACUCCAGGGCACUGAGCACACUUGCUUUGGCUAUUUGGAGAAGAGGCCAAUAGACACAACUGGCUUCAUCUUCAGGGACACCCAAUAUCUGGCAGCCCUCAGCCCCAGCGGAGUCUUUAUUGAAAGAACUGAUUCAUAGACCAGGCGCGGUGGCUCACGCCUAUAAUCCCAACACUUUGGGAGGCUGCGGUGGGCGGAUCUCGGUCAGGAGAUCGAGACCAUCCUGGUUAACACGGUGAAACCCCAUCUCUACUAAAAAUACAAAAAUAAAAAAAUAGCUGGGUGUGGUGGCAGGCGCCUGUAGUCCCAGCACUUUGGGAGGCCGAGGUGGGCAGAUCACAAGGUCAGGAAUUCAAGACCAGCCUGACCAACAUGGUGAAACCCCAUCUCUACUAAAAAAAUACAAAAAUUAGCUGGGUGUGGUGGUGCACACCUGUAAUCCCAGCCACUCAGAAGGCUGAGGCAGGAGAAUUGCUUGAACCUAGGAGGGGAAGGUUGCAGUGAGCCAAGAUUGCGCCACUGCACUCCAGCCUGGUUGACAGAGCAAGACUCUGUCUCAAGAAAAAAAAAAAGAAAAAGAAAAAAAAAGAAAGAACUGAUUUAUGAAAAGAUUCUUAUCAUGAUUUUCAUUUUACUAGUCCAAAGAUCACUGAGUUAAACUGCCUAUUUUAGUAGAUGAACAAAAGCGCCUUGAAUAAAGACGUAAUUCAAUAAAAACU